ACGACUCCUUCUACUGCUGGAAUGUUUGGGGCAAGGAGGUGUUUGUUAUACAACCCGAUACCUGCUAAACCAGCUUCUAAUCUAGAUUCUAAAUCAUGUUCUACAGUUGGACAUCAGACUUGUGCUGGUCACCUGGAACUCAGAACCAAUAAGCCCCCCCUAAAACCAUUGCUGCUACCUCCAGUCUGUGAGGGAGGAAGAAGGCUGCCCUACCCUUUUAUGAGGACUUCUUCCAAAGGUGGUUACAGGCUUCUGAGCUCAAACCAGAUCUUCAUGUUUGGCAGCUUAAAUUUUACUAGGGAUCUGGGUAACCUUACCCAAAGCUAUAUAAGGAAAAUGAUUGCUUCACCUGCGUGGAAGUACCCUCUUCUUCUCUGCCCUGUAUCUCUUAACCUUUAGGAGUAGAGUUCUGGAGACUGACGUCAAGAGCAGAUCCCAACUCUUCUGCUGAUAUGUUGGGUGACCUAGGACAAAGCCCUUCACCUCUCAGAGCCUCAAAUGGCAGCACAGCUAAAAACAUCUACCUACCACAGAGGUUGUUGUAUCAGUCAGAUGAUGCACAUAAAUACAUGGUGUGGUAUCUGGUUCAUAAUAAAGAUCAAUAACCUCUCUGUUA